rnacentral:rRNA from 1 species
AUGCAGUAUUUCCUGAAGGCCCAAUUCCACUAUACCAAGAACCAGUAUGCUAAUUUGUUGCUUAUUAUUGGCAUUACAGGAAGUUUCUCACAGCUGACCAUGAUGCCUUUCUUAGCGCCGAAGCUGGGUGAGCAGAAGCUACUUGUCGUGGCACUUACAGGGAGCUGCGUGCAUGGAUUCCUAUACAGCAUUGCAUGGUCAUUCUGGGUCCCUUAUCUUGCUGCAAGCUGUGUGAUUCUAAGCAUUUUGGUCGGCCCUUGUAUAAGGAGCAUUGUAUCAAAAAAAGUAGGGCCUUCUGAGCAGGGAAUGGUUCAAGGCUGUAUUACAGGAAUCAGCUCAACUGCAAGUGUCAUAUCUCCUCUAGUUUUUACUCCGCUCACAGCAUGGUUCCUAUCAGAGACCACACCUUUCAACUUCAAAGGUUUCAGCCUGGCUUGUGCUGGAUUUGCUACGUUGGUGGCACUCAUAAUGAGCAUUAAUAUGAGGCCAGCAGAGGUUCAGCCAGAUACCAGAUAG